ensembl:lncRNA
GAAGGGUAGAGAAAUGUAAAUGAGACAAGCCCGAGAGGAUACAGCUUCUGGGGAACUGUGAACAUUUUGACAGCUACUUUGCCAAUGAGUAAAGGCGAAGCAACCUUUAGAAAAGUAUUUUGGAGUUGAUCAGUGGAAGGUCAUAUAUUUAUACUAAGUAGUUUGUGUCAUUAGAUACAAGCCUGGGAAUACUACUCAUGGCUUUUUCCUGCGGUUUAUAUGACAGUGAUUAAUGGAGCACCUACUGGGAAUCUUGCUUGGCACGGAGUAGUGAGGAUUGAAAUUAUCUACGCUGAAGAUGAGACUUUUCUGGAAGAGGGUCAGGAUAAACAGAAGAACCUCAGGCUACUCUAAGCAGAAGGAAUGUAUGAUAAUGUGACCAAGCACUGACUGCAGGGUAAGUGUGACUAAGUUGCUGUCUGGGGAAAGAUAUUUUUCUAGGAGAUGUUCAUGUGGGCUGGGAACUCUAAUAAGCACUGAUGCUUACAUAGCUCUUACUAAGUGUCAGCAAUUGUUUCACGGGUCUUAUACAUGUCAGCUCAUUUGACAUUGACAGCCAUCAAAGGAGGUAAGCACCGUUAACACUCCCAUUAUAUAGAUGGGAAAACAGAAGGUAG